CCUCUAUUGCAGCACACUAACGCCAUGGAUGGACGACGGAAGCUCCCUGCUACCUCCAAAUCCCUGUCCUCAGUAGCCGGUUGUUUAAAUUGAGUUUGCCAUCACCUCCCCCUCGCCACAACGAUCCGUUCGAACCCUUCCCUGAGCGCAGCCAUGACCGGCGAUGCCCGCGCCAUCGCCGCAGCAGGCUGCCACCGCGGGCUCGCGUGGCCAGGCCACCUGGAGCUGCCGCCGGCCCAGCCAACUCCUUGGCUGUGCGCGCGCUCCACCAGGGACGGCUCGGCUGGCCCCGCCGCGCUCGGCCGACGCCGGCGAGCCCCGACCAGGAAAGGCCGAUCCCCUUUCCCUGUACGUUCCAAGGAAGAAGACGAUGGACCAAUCUGCAAAUUCCAGAACAGCAGGGGGGAACGAGAGAUGAUGAUCGUGCAAGUGAUGUGGUGCCAACCACAAGAUGCAGUUGGUGGACGACCUAAAGAAUGAUGGACUUAACCAGUGGAUGCUCGCCAAGCGAGUACCUCCCCCAGCAAACACUGUCUAAGUGUUAAAUUAAAGGUACCUCCUUGAUUUGGUUGAUGGUGUGACUUGGCCUUCAUCCCUGCCACCGGGAUAUAUGGUUGAGAGGGUUACUGCUUCCGCAGGAGAGGACCAGGAGGAGUAGCGUGGCCAGGCUUCGCCAUGUUACUCGGUUUUCUCCGUUAGUUAUUUCCGUU
rnacentral:misc_RNA from 1 species